rnacentral:rRNA from 1 species
CGGGUGAGUAACGCGUAGAUAAUCUACCCUUGUGUACGGGACAACAUUGGGAAACUGGUGCUAAUACCGAAUACGUUUUUUAUGUAGCGAUACAUUAGAAAGAAAGGUGGGGACCCUUCGGGGCCUACCGCACGAGGAUGAGUCUGCGUACCAUUAGCUAGUAGGUGGGGUAAAGGCCCACCUAGGCGACGAUGGUUAGCGGGUCUGAGAGGAUGAUCCGCCACACUGGCACUGGAACACGGGCCAG